rnacentral:lncRNA from 1 species
ACAACUCAAGGGGUGUUUAUUUGAAAAUAACCCUUUAAAAUGUUGUAGGUAGAGAUUAGGGAAACUACACAGCAGAAGGAAGGAGCCAUAGCCAGCCAUAAUAGAGCACCAGAAAAACCAAGGCCUAAGAAAGGAGGAAAGAGAGAGGUUGCCAGAAUCUGGAGGAUAGAAAGUCAUAUAGAGGCCACCUCAAGGUAAGCAGUGACCUUUGGCCAAGGGACGUAGCCAUGCUAAAAGGACCUUGAAGGGAGAGAACUAAGGGGAUACAUAUCUGAAUGUACCUCCCUCCCUCUCAUCUCCUUCCAGAGCUCCCAACUGGCUGAACACAACCAGAAACCAAAGUGCAGAGAGGCCCUGAUGAUGUGGUCUGUAUAGGUUGGCCUCCAAGGGUGGAAAGUCUGUGAUAAGAAUGGAAAGAUAGGUGUUUAGGUACUCGUGUUGUAAGAUCUGAAACUUCACGUGAGAAGUAUAAUUGUCAUUCAAUGUGUAACGAACAAGUAUUGAAGACUUUUCAUGGACUGGGGAAAAAAAAAAAAAAGACCAGAAACAGGAAAACCAGGAAAGAGGCUCUGAAAUAUCUGGGUAAGAGGUGAUAGGAGGAAGGAAAAUAAAAGACAAAUUUUAAAGCUUUUUUCUUUCCCAAGAGCAAUAUUAAAGACCAACUCCACUGGACAUGUUGGGUAAUGGAACAGAAUGAGGAGUUGGGAUGAGGUAAGGAAAGAGACAAAGACGGUAGGAGGGUUUUCAGCCUAGAUACUGAGAGAAUAGAGUUCUUACUAUUAAAAACAUAAUGCAAUGAAAGUGUUAUGGUCAAGUUUCUUUCAUUUGAAGCCCGCUGACGCUGACUUAAGUAGAAAAGGGAGAAGUUAUUAUAAAAAUAGGGGAUUAUAUCUGAAAUGUAAGGGCAGAAAAGACAUCUGAACCUCACAAGGGAUAGGAAUCAGGAAUGGGUAGUCCAGUAGGCGCCAUGUUGCUCCUCGGUAGCACUGAGUCAUCCCAAGUCUUCACGACCCACAUCCCUACCUCACUUUGCUCCAUCUGUGCUUCUUUUCACAAGCCAGACUUCUCUGCAUCUCCGUACAUGUGAUUGAAGAUGGCGGCUCACUUCUGAGUUUACAUCACUUCCCACGAUCAUUCCAUAUUCUUGAGAGACUGGAUCCAACCAGCUGUGGUCAAGGGUGUAGGAUCGUGUAAAUCAAGGCCACCCUGGAGUGGAGGAAGUUCUCAGAGGAGGUCUAUGUGCUGGGGGAAAUGCCUGAAAGGUGAGGGAAAGAUGAGCUCAGUGCUGGACAUUUCGAGUGGGAGAUGCCUGCAGAAUGUCUUCAUUGGAAUAUCUAGCAAGCUAUAAUGAUUUCAAUCCAAAAUGAGAGAACAAGUUGGCAGGAGGAUAGACCGGGCUAGUGAAAUGGAGGUGACAAUUGAAGGCAAAUGCUGAAAGAGGGGAUAGAGAGAAAAGGGCCAAGGAAUGAGCCCUGGUGAAUGUUUUAAUUUCUGGGACAAAUUAAAGACUGUCAGUAGAGGAUAGUGGUAAAGAAUACGGAAGAGGGUCUGUGGGGAAGUAGGAAAAAAAAAAAAAAGACAGAGAAUGGAAAAUCAUGUUGUCAGGAAGGGAAGGAGAGCUGGCUGACCCACUUGGUAGAGAAACUAUGAGCUUCUGGAGGGUAAGAGCUGAAUCUGUCUCUCUAGGAGGGGGCACAAAGCCUAGUGAGGAGCUAACUGAAUAUCUGUUAAUUUGAACAAAGAUGGGAAAGAGAGAGAAAGGCUAUGAGAUUUAGCAAAAAUGAAGUCCUUGGUGAUUUGUAAAAAAAAAACAGUUGUAGGAUGCGUUUAGGAUGUAAAGACAAAGUCAGAAUAAAAGGAAGGGGUGGGGACAGCCUAAUCAUUUAGAAAUUUUGAUGACAUGAGUGAAAUGACUGGAAAAGGAAGCAGAGUUAAGGGAAUGAUUUAUUUAUUAUUAUUUUGUGUUUUAUUUUUUAGGAUGGAAGGGACAUGUACCUAUUUGGUAAAAGAUAGUCAAGGUAUGUGCAUUGAACAUAUAGUCAAGAGAUGAGCAAAUAAAGGCAUGGUCUUCAAUAAGGUGGGAAGAGGUGAACAGAACUUUAGAAAUCAGAAAGAACUCUUCUCAGAGACCAAAGAGAAGAAAGGGAGCCUAAAGAAACAAGGAACAUUUGAGAUAGAGAAGCACCAACUUGGGGAAGCUUCCAGGUACCUUCAAUUUCCCCUUGAAGGAGGAAUCCUCUCUUUGCCUUGCCUGGGACAGGGUUGGAGGCCGAGGAUGAUGGAGACGAUUUAGAACUGUGCUGAGCAAAACACGGCCCAUAGUCUUAAAGAAACAGUCAAGGUAGCACUCAAUUGAAGGAGGCCCGUGAAAGCUAAUGUGAUGCCAUUUGUUGUGGCCUCAGUUCAUACAACUCCAAGACAUGCUUCAGUGAAGUUCAGCAGUUUGGGAGCUGAAGCCAAGUCCAGGGGUGACCCCUGAGAGUAGAGGGCAACAGAUCACAAGAUGGUGGCAAAGUGCCUAUUGAAAGAGCUUCGCCAGGCAUCAGAGGAGCAGAAGAGGCUGAUGGCUGGAGAGCCUGGGCAUUGGUGAUCUGAGUGAGGUGGGAGCACCGUGAGGGGUAAAACAGGACGAUGUCUCAGAGGAGCAAGGGUUUGCUCUCAAACUCAACACUACAAAGCCAUGGUGAAGGUCGAGACACCAAUGUGCCAAAGAAUGGCUCCGGCUCUGAAAAAACAGCUGAAAGCACAAAGGAAUUAAGAAAGAACUCAUGAGCUCUGGCUUACCACCUUGGAGAGGCCCACACUUCCCAAAGGGCAGUCACCACAGAAGCUUCUGAUCUCUCCAGGGCUGUUGGUUCCCACAAAACCCAAUGGCAGGAAAGUAGACAUUGAAGUUCACCCUAGCAUGUAAUAAAAAGGGAAAAGGAAAUAGUACACAAAUCUUAUGUACAGUGUGCUUACAACUAUGGAGCAAUAUUUCAACGAAAGGAAGAUGAAAGAAAUGGGGGGAUGAGACAAAUUACCAAAAGCUAAUGCUUUUGGUCCUUGGGGAAAGUAUGGGGUGACUUGAUGGUUUUCUUUCUUUUCUUUUUCUUUCUUUUUUUCCCCCCAUCUUUUUCAUUUAUGUGGGAGAAGUACUGUUGUUCUAAGGAACGUUCAAAAGGUUUCGGAGUCAGGCAGCACAAUUUGGGCGGCUCACAGUUCUGGCCCACCCACAAUGCAAGGCACUGUGCUCAGUGCUUUACAUGUAUUACUUCUAAUCCUUUCGACAAUUCUUGUAGUUACUAUCAUCCCUGUUUCUGUUGUGAAAAGUGAAACUCAAAAUGAUAAGGAACUUUGCCAAAUCCAAACCCCAUCUGUAUUCUGUCUGCCUUAAUUCACAGCCACUUCGAUUCUAUCUCUGACUCUUUCUUAUUAGAUGUCUGACCUCAGGCAAAAUAUUUAACCUCUCUGAAGCUCAGUUGCUUCACCUGUAACCUGGACAUUAAAACACACACACACACACACACACACACACACACACACACACACACACACACACACACACAGGAAAAUGUAUUUAACAUCAGUUUAAAAUCUAUCAGAGCCACCAAAGUAAAGGGGAUUAAAUCAGCUCAUGGGAGUGGACUUUCCAGGGCACUGAAAAAUGAGAAGCCUUGUUCUGUGGCCCUGGUUAUGCUAUUUUGCUCAAGGAUCAAGAGAGCCCAAUGUUUAUAAACAUUCUCAUUACUAGAAAUACUGAAGAUUGUUAGUUUCGGUUUUUCUAGGAUGAUGUUGUAAGCCCACAUAUAAAAGGGCAGCAGUGGGGCAAGAAUUGAGCUGUUUUCCUAACUCUGAUGCAUCCUUAGUUGUACGGAGUGUCACCGGCAGCUGAGCAGUCCCUGGGAACUUCAUGGCAAAGGGAGAGCUCACCUAGGUGGGCUGCACCUGCUCUGGCAUUUAGAUUGGUUCCAUAUCCAGGGUGAAUCAGGCCUGAUGGGGGAGGUGUGUACAAAGCAGUGUUGAGGAAGAGAUGUCCUCCACUGUCUGCAACUCACUUGAGAUAUUACACAUGCCUACUUCAAAGAGUUGUGUGGGUUUAAAAGAUUAUAUAUAUUUUUAAUUCUCUUAUUUUAUUUUCAUUAAAGUAUAGUUGAUUUAUAGUGUUGCAUCAGUUUCUGCUGCACUGCAUAGUGACCCAGUCAUACACAUGUAUACAUUCUCUUACUCAUAGUUUACCUUCCAUCAUGGUCUAUCCCAAGAGGCUGGAUAUAGUUUCCUGUGCUAUACAGUAGGACCUCAUUGUUUAUCCAUUCUAAACAUAAUAGUUUGCAUCUACCAGCCCCAAACUCCCCAUCCAUCCCAUUUCCUCCCCCUUGGCAACCACAUAUCUGUUCUCUAUGACUGUGAAUUAAGGUUAUCGUUAAAGUGCCUGGCAAAAAAGCUCUGCACAAAAUAUGACCUCAUUAAGUGGUAGCUGUUAUUGCUGUUUCCCAAAUUUUUCCAUUGAGUUUGCAUUGUAUUUUAUAGAUAAGAAAAUGAAUAUUUAAAUGCACUUACAUUUCAGCUGCAGUUUAUGGCUACAGAGUAGAACUGAGAUGAGUAGUUACAUUGGAGGAAAGAUACCCACCUUUGACACUAUACAUUUUUGUUCAGAUCUCCAUGGAACACAAAAGAAUUAUUCUGGAGUCUUUUUUCCCCCAAAAUAAAUUUAUUUUCCUGAGCUACUCAUUAGCAAGAUCAUCUUUAGGAGGCUGAGAUGCUUCUUGGGUUUCCCCUUCCUCCAGCCAUUCCAUAGAAAUCUGGCUAAAACAAAAUGUGGGCAACAGAAUUAGAAACCCAAACUUCAGCCAGAACAGUAGGUAAAAGUGAUGCCAAGGCACAAUAGUCAAGAGAUGGAAGCAAUUCCGAUGUCUAUUUCAGUGGAUGUCUAGAUAAACAAAAUGCUGUCCAGGCAUGUAAUGGAAUAUUAUUCACUCUUGAAAAGGAAGGAAAUUCUGUCACAUGAUAUAAUGUAGAUGAACUUUGAGGACAUUGUUUGGAAUGAAAUAAGCCACACAUGAAAAGACAAACACCAUAUGAUUCAACUUAUAUGCGAAGGAACUGGCUUACACAAUUAUGGAAGCUGAGAAAUCCCAUGAUCUGUCAUUCCUUUCUCUGCCUUGUGUUCUAUCCAUGCUCUCAAAAGAUGGCGUCCACCCACAUGGGGGAGGAACGUCUACUUUACUGAGUUCACCAUUGCAAAUUCUAAUCUCAUCAGAAACACCCUCACAGACACACCCAGAAAUAGUGCUGCGUUUGGGUGCCUCAGGGCCACCCCCCCCGCCGACCUUGACAUGUAAAAUUAACCCUCACCCAAGAAGAUGAAAAGUUCAGGCAAUUUGUUUGACAACAAAGAGCACAUGCUAAACACUCCUGAACUCUACACUUAAAAAUGGUUAAGAUGAUUUAAGAAAAUUUAAUGCAUAUAAUUACCAACAAAAUCAGGUCAAAAGAUCUUUAUUGUUUUUAAAUGGCUUUGAAUAUGGAUAAAAAUAAAUUCAAGCCAUUCCCCAAAAAUGAUACCAAAGGAAUGGAACCCCCAAAGGGCAGAAGAUGUUACUGAAGGCAAAAGGAAGGGGGUGGGGUAAGAGUGGUCAAAGCAGUCAAGUCCUGCCCACGUAACCCAGGAGACAGCAGAAGGAGGAUGGGCAGGGGCACAGCAGGAACCCUGCAGAAUAAUUCAAACCUUUUCCAGAUCAGUCAGCAGAGCAAACCUCUUUUCUUCCUGCCCUGACUCCCUGAGUUUGAGCUGCUUGGUUGGUGUCUGCAGGAGGCCCACUGGCAGCUCCUCAAGCAAAUGCUUCAACUUGGCCUUGGGAGAAUGUCCACUCACAAAAGUCCCCAUUUGCCUGAACCAGUGGAGUCUUGGUCCAGCUUUAUGCAUCCACUAUACCUCCUGCUGCCUCAGACCCUUGGGUCCAGGACAACUCCUCCUGCGACCCGAGAAUCCAAAUCAUGAGCCUUGACCAAGGACAUGACUCCUAAGGCCAGUGGAAAAUGUUCCUAAGGAGAUUAAAGGAAGAAAGUUCAUUAGCCAGGCUGCUUCGGACUGCAAACAGCAGAGAAGUCUGACUCAAACUGGUUUAAAGAUAAGGAAAUGCAUUCUUACAUAAUAAGAAGUCAAAGUGAAGUCAAUAAAUUGGGUAGGCCCCAGAUGUAGUUAAUCAGAAGCUAUACAUUGUCAUCAAAGACCUCGGUUGCUUCAGCUGCUACUCUGCCAUCUAGGUAUUUGUUUCUUCCUCAGACUGGUGGCAAGAUGUCUCUCCCGUUCCAGCUGCCAUGUUCAGCAAGAAUAU